AUUGAACGCUGGCGGCAGGCCUAACACAUGCAAGUCGAACGAGUGGCGGACGGGUGAGUAAUGUCUGGGAAACUGCCUGAUGGAGGGGGAUAACGACUGGAAACGGUCGCUAAUACCGCAUACCAUCAGAUGUGCCCAGAUGGGAUUAGCUUGUUGGGGGGGUACCGGCUCACCAAGGCGACGAUCCCUAGCUGGUGCGAGAGGAUGACCAGCCACACUGGAACUGAGAAACGGUCCAGCGUCCUACGGGAGGCAGCAGUGGGGAAUAUUGCACAAUGGGCGAAAGCCGGAUGCAGCCAUGCCGCGUGUAUAAAGAAGGCCUUCGGGUUGUAAAGUACUUUCAGCGGGGAGGCGUUACCCGCAUAAGAAGCACCGGCUAACUCCGUGCCAGCCGCCGCGGUAAUUC
rnacentral:rRNA from 1 species